rnacentral:miRNA from 1 species
GCAGCACUUGUAGGGUAGGGCCUGGGAAGCUGUUCCUUUUGGCCGACUUCUUCCUGGCGCCUCACCCUGCACCCAG